rnacentral:lncRNA from 1 species
UCAUUGUCGUUUCAAAGCUAAACCAAAACAUGUCGAAACAAAAAUUUUGGGGUGAUCUUGUGGUAUGGGUGUAUGUCUUUGUGUUGGAACUCCCUAAACCCAAAUCCUUAGGAUUGAGGGCUUGAACACUUGAAUGUGGUCAAUUGGGAAAUGGGGUUCAUUGUCUUUGUGUUGAAAGAAUAGACAUUCUAAAUUUGAGGCUGAUCCGGCUGGCAACAGAAGAAGUCACCUCUGAGGUAGGAGCAACUGGGAAUCGUGUAGUAGUUUCUACUCCUGCAUAUCGCUGCAAGAAAUGCGCGGAGAGUGGUUGCAUUGCAAGAGAAUGUUGUGGAUCAUGUUCCAGGGGAGGGUGAGACAUCCUUUGAGUGGCAUAAGAGGAAAAGUGGCAACUCUUUUAACUAGUGUGAUGAGAUUGAGUGCUCAUCCAUUUUUGUUGAGCCUCUACGCCCCCCCCAUUGGAUGACAAACAGGUGCAAAACAUUGAACACUCCCUUUUAAUUUUUCUAGGAGUUUCGAUAUUUCGGUUAUAGCUUGUUUUGAAGUAUUUUAGAGUCCUUGAGCCCACAUUUGAUCGGUACAUCCCAAGUACGAGGCUGAAUUGUAGUUUGGAAAUGAUGUUGAUGCAUUCUUAACUUGGCGUUGGUAGUAGAUUAUCUCUUUGAUCUACUUGCAUUUCCUAAGUUUUGUUAGCGUUGUUUCAGUAUUGAGGUUGGUGUUUGCUCAAAUGAGCUCCAUCCUAGAUUCAUGCUUACUUGCAUUCCGGAAGCUUUUUUGUUGUUCGAAAUUUUAGUUUUUGAUUCAUGUUUCGUUGUCACUAGUUGAGGAAGUGUGCCAUAGAGGGAAACUACACUGUGAUAUGCGAAGGGCCGCUGGGGGGCUUAUUUCAACUGGGUUUAGGCCAUCCAAUGCAGUUGUGGUAGCUGGAUCACCCCAGCCGUUCAGCUCCAUAAAGGCCGAGUUGACAUCAGCACUACCUGAUAAUUUCAAGGCAGCAGAAACAAGUAUUCCUAUUACUAUAGUAUACCAGAGAGAGAGAGAGAGAGAGAAUGCAUGUUUGGUGCACUGCAGAAUGGCUCCAACCUGCCUAGAGAUAAGAGAGGUGUUGAAAGGGGUUAUAUGUACACAAUGUGUUGGAAACCAAAUUGGUAUGGCGGUUGUCUUCAAAAUAUAGAAAUACUGGACACUCAAGGCGGUACUAUGGUCACUUCCUAAAAAACAGUAUUGGUCCCACAAAUGGCGUACACGGGUUUUAGCAAAUCUGCCUUCAAAGUACAAAUGACUUGAACUAUUGGUUCAAAACAAUCCAGCAUAUCUUGCGUCAUUGGUUAGAAAGGAAAAGAGAACCACUUUUUGACAGAAUGACUAAUAGAAUUUCAGGAUUAUAAAUGCUCAAAAAGAAUGGAGUAAUCUUCUGUUUCUCUGAUUUUCUGUGUCAAAAUGGUCUAAGGGGUGGUUUAUUAUCGGCUACUACGCACCCCUUCAAUCACACCCAUUCGUUGAUAGUUGUGACCGUUGGAUUUGGAUCAAUCCGUCGGUCACAACCUUCGGAUUGACGCAAUGCGCAUGUCAUUGCAAUAAGAAAGGGCACAUGCGCCGACGUGCUAAACCCACUGCCACGCACAAGCGCGGGUUCAUGAUGCGACUCUUUAGAUCCAAUUUCAUACGUACUACUUUACAAAUAUGUUUCUAGUAUAAAGAAGAAAAACUUCCUUAACCCCACGUACAAAAAAGAAGCAUUUAAAGAAUAAGGAAAGCUUUAACAAAAAAACCAAAUAAGUAACACCAUUAAAUAUUUUAAAAAUCUCUACAUAUGUCUACCUAGUAAUGAUCUGAAUUGUGGUGCCAUAUAUGAGAAGACAAUUCUGAGUCGUCAAGAAUAAAUGGGUGAGAACUUACUAUGUCUGCUUGCUCUUUCCAUGAUGCUAUGUGACAAGCAGAAAGAGGGUUCGUGUGCUUUAACUACCUGUACCGUAUAUGGUGACUAUUAGUCAUGAUUUUCGUAUUUCCCAGAAUCAAAAAUGCUUUAAAAAUAAUGGGUUUCCUGAGUGGUUUCGAUGACUUUGCCCGUGAGAGACAAACCCAUCCAACAAAAUGGGUUGCAUUCGGAAUGGGAUGACUUCUAUUUUAUUUUUUUUUAGAAAUUAAAUUUUACAUAAAAACAAAAUAUUAUUAAAAAAGAUAAAGUAGAGAAAAACGUCCCAGAAAACUAAGUUUGUAGUUAAGCCGGAUGCCAACUACCAGUAUCUCUAAUAAUGUAACCACGUACUUUUAUUAGGGAAAAUCAAAAACUAAACAGGAGAAAUGCUUCACAACUAAAUAUUGGUGUCCCAAUGCCACUACAAGGACUAAAAGGUAACAUCGGCUUAAUUACCCUUAAAUUAUCGAUUUUUAUCACCUUUCACUCUCUUUUAAAAAAUGAAUCAUAUUUAACUAUUUAAUUGUAUCACUUACACUUCUCUCAUUAUUUAAUCCGUAUAAAUAGUGAUGAAAAUCAAUCACAUGUUGUCUAGUGCUUCAAUUAUAGUUUUGAUGUCCUAAAUAUCCGUAUUGUUUGCAUAUAAAAUAAGUUAAAGCUCUCUAGAAAGGACUUAUUAAUAAAGGUACGUUUGUCCCAUACAUGACUGACAUAGGCUAUGACUGCUGCAUUAGGCUGUUGUAUAUUGGAGUAAGUAGACUUAUUUCUCACAAAAAAAUAAUAGUAUUUGAAUAUAAGGAACAUUUAAAUUGAACCCGUGAAAAACACAUGAUUCAUGUUUAUCACUAUUUCAAAUAUAUUAAUAAUGGAAUGGAGUGUAGUGAUAUAAGUAAAUAAUUAAGAGGUUAAUAGGAUUUACUUUUUCGAACGAGAGGUGAAUUAUGUGUAGUGCGCUCAACUAGUUCAAAAGUAAAAAAAAUAAAUUUUAUUUUAUUUAGGUUGUAUUUAUGUCACCUCAAAAAUGAGUAUGUAUUAUGGUUUCAUUGGACGAUGCCGAAUACAUGAUGUAUCAGAGCCUUAAGGACGGACAAUCCCCAAUGGAGAAGAUAAAUAGCUGUAUAGGCUCCUGAAAGUGGCUCUCCAAACUCAAAGCAAAAUGACAGAAGUAGAACACGCAGGAGCUCCGACAAGGAAAAGAUGCGUCUUGAAUAUUCAUUCUAUUAGUAAAGCGCGGUGCCUCUUAACGAAAUAAAACCCCCACGCCACCCCACCACCCACCAACCACCAAAACAAGUACAGUUGGCUAGAAACCAGGGAUCAUCAAAAUCAACUGUUCGCGACCUGAUCCUGGUCAAGCUUAGAAAUGAAACUCGAGCUCAAAAUCGUUUGCGUAGGUUUGGAGCUCAAACUAAUCCCCACUCCCAUUAUAUAAAUGAGGCGGAGAAUAAAGCUUGGGACGAGAAGGAAGAUACAAGUUUCCUUCAAAAUGCCUCACCAAGAAGGUUACAGCAAUGCCGCGAUAGUUCUCAUGUUGCGGUUUCCACACAAAUAUAGAUUUGAACAAAACACCACACAAACAAAAAAUACACAAACACAAGUGGCUGUGUAACACCCGUGUUCGCAACGCCAUUUGAAAUGAGUCAUGACUGCUUGUUUGGCUCUCUCCAAAAAACGGCCCCAAGUCGUUCAUUUAGCAAAAAAGAAACCAAGGUUCAACAAGUCUUUAAUCGUAGUUGUGAACCGCGUGGUCACAACCCUAAGCAUUGGGUGCCAAAAAAGUAACACAACAUAUUUUUUUAUGCAUCGGAAAUUUUAAAAACAAGGUGAAAGCAUAAUACCUUACAAGCAGACCACUUAAUUAAUCAGGAAGAGUGAGACCCUUGCAACGUACCAACACAUGUAGAUAAAUGAUAUUAUAAAAAUACAAAAACAUUUCAAGUAGACUCUCAGAGACCUAGUCCAACAGUGCGGCCAUCUCUUCGACGGAGCCCAGCAGUGUAUUGCUUCUCCAAAUCCAACUGCAGCUGUUCUGUCUGCUUCUCGAAGCCGCUGCUUUCUUGAUUGUCGGGUUUGUGCUCCACUUUCAGCUCGCCCUUCACACCCUACAAUUGCCCAUAGGUACCAAUGCAACCUCAGACUUAAAAGUGUGUUAGUAGGUGUGGAAGAAGAAAUUAUAACCAAGCAAACAACUCAUUCAAGGACAAGCAAGUGAAAGGCUUCAGGUUGUUUAAUGGCUACUAUAACAAAAAAAUAAAUAAGAGUAAUGGAUGAUUACCAUGAGUUUGUUGAAUUUUUCUUGCCGUUCACGAUCAGAGAACAGGGUUGCAUCCCAGCGAUGACAGACUGUAGAGUAUUUGAAAGAGAAUUGAACAAAAACAAAUGAACUAAUAGCAAAGACGGCAAAUAAAAUAGAAUGUUCGAUAGCCUGCUAUUCGUUCAAAGGAAGUAUACUUGACAUAUGCAAUGAAGAAUUAAAAUUAGGAUAUAAUCCAGAUGAAUCUUGCACAUCUAAUUCAAAAGCCUUCUCAAAAGAAAAGCAGAAUUUAUGUCCAAGUAAAAAUCAUCACAGCUUUUUAUAUUCUCAAUUCGGUUCUGUAAAGGCCUCAAGUCUUUCAACUUUACUUUGCGAAAACUGGCUCAUUCCUAACUUUGUUCUAGCUACCCACUAGAGCUUUGUUCC